rnacentral:tRNA from 1 species
CCUCUGGUAGCUCAGUUGGCAGAUCGGUGGACUGUAGUGUUCUGGACAUGGGCAUCCAUUGGUCGCUGGUUCAUAUCCGGCUCAGAGGA